GAAUAGAACAGUAAACAAAACUUUCUUGCCUUUUGCCUUCACUGCGAGCGUGUUAUCAUUUUUAUAGAGACAUGGAACUUGUAAAAAGUGUCGACACUCCAGCAGAUCCCAACUCUUCAAUUAAUAAAUUCAACAAGAACAGAGAAGUGACUGUGUGUGCGGUAAAACCGUUGGACAAUCUUUUAGUUGCAAAAAAUUUUCGUGUAACUAAACUUAAUUAUUGCUGCAAAAAUCAAAUUAAAGAAUCUUCAGAAAAGAUACUUCCAAAAUGUUAUAGAAAAAAGUGUCGAAGAAUGAGUAGUAUUCUAAGAAAUAAACACUAUAAUCAGGAAUCUGUGGGUACUAAAAAACACAAGAGUCGCAGGAAGCCAAGAAGUUACAAAAUAAAGAAAAACCAUUCCCAAACUAAAUAUAGCAAAAGAAAACAAUUAAAAGAAGUUAAAAAGAACGCACCGAAAGUUGAUGAGCCCGAACUAUCAUUGAGUCUAUCUUCAAUAUCAGAUUCACCUUCGGAUGGCAACAUCAGUUAUGAAGACAUUAGCUCAGAUUCUUUUACAUCAAAUUCAGAUAGUAAACUUGAUACACUAAUAAAAAGAACUAAAGAACGUGAAAGAAGAAUGUCUGGGAAUAAUUUUGAGAAGCCUUUGUAUGCAAGCUCUCCACUAAGUGUUGUAUCUUCUGUUGAAUCAGGACAAUGGGAUGGAGAAAAUGAAUCUAUCAAUUCUCUUGAAACUUAUGUCCUGGAACGGCAAGAUAUGUAAUGUUAUCAUGAAGCAAAUCCUGAUAAUGUUCCUUUUAAAAAUGAAUAGUUGAGUGCUGGUUGCACUUGGACUAAACCAAAAACAAUUCAUAAUAAUGAAAAAUUAUAUUAAAACAGGUUUUAGUAGAUAAGUAAAGUGUGUAAAUAUUAUGUGUCUCAAAAAUUUAUUGAAUGUAGGUUAAGAAAUAGAAAAGCUAUUUAUAAUGAACUUGUAGCUAACUAUCAUGUGUUGACCACUGAUGUAACCAAGUAGUAAAGCUUGUUAUUUUAUCUUAUAUUCAAAAAUUUUAUGCGAGAAAGUAAUUUUAUGAAGUAAGUAAGAAAAUGUUUGAUGUUAGGGAUGAUAUGAUAAAUGGUGUUUUGUCUUUUAUUAAAUAUUGAUAAAAAAAAGAUUUAUGUCUGUCUGUUACUAUAUGGUAUAAAGAUUAUAUUUUUUUCUUGUGAUUA